GAUGAACGCUGGCGGCGUACCUAAUACAUGCAAGUCGAACGCUUUGUGGUUCAACUGAUUUGAAGAGCUUGCUCAGAUAUGACGAUGGACAUUGCAAAGAGUGGCGAACGGGUGAGUAACACGUGGGAAACCUACCUCUUAGCAGGGGAUAACAUUUGGAAACAGAUGCUAAUACCGUAUAACAAUGACAACCGCAUGGUUGUUAUUUAAAAGAUGGUUCUGCUAUCACUAAGAGAUGGUCCCGCGGUGCAUUAGCUAGUUGGUAAGGUAAUGGCUUACCAAGGCGAUGAUGCAUAGCCGAGUUGAGAGACUGAUCGGCCACAAUGGGACUGAGACACGGCCCAUACUCCUACGGGAGGCAGCAGUAGGGAAUCUUCCACAAUGGGCGAAAGCCUGACGGAGCAACGCCGCGUGUGUGAUGAAGGGUUUCGGCUCGUAAAACACUGUUGUAAAAGAAGAAUGACAUUGAGAGUAACUGUUCAAUGUGUGACGGUAUCUUACCAGAAAGGAACGGCUAAAUACGUGCCAGCAGCCGCGGUAAUACGUAUGUUCCAAGCGUUAUCCGGAUUUAUUGGGCGUAAAGCGAGCGCAGACGGUUAUUUAAGUCUGAAGUGAAAGCCCUCAGCUCAACUGAGGAAUUGCUUUGGAAACUGGAUGACUUGAGUGCAGUAGAGGAAAGUGGAACUCCAUGUGUAGCGGUGAAAUGCGUAGAUAUAUGGAAGAACACCAGUGGCGAAGGCGGCUUUCUGGACUGUAACUGACGUUGAGGCUCGAAAGUGUGGGUAGCAAACAGGAUUAGAUACCCUGGUAGUCCACACCGUAAACGAUGAGUGCUAGGUGUUUGAGGGUUUCCGCCCUUAAGUGCCGCAGCUAACGCAUUAAGCACUCCGCCUGGGGAGUACGACCGCAAGGUUGAAACUCAAAGGAAUUGACGGGGACCCGCACAAGCGGUGGAGCAUGUGGUUUAAUUCGAAGCAACGCGAAGAACCUUACCAGGUCUUGACAUCCCUUGACAACUCCAGAGAUGGAGUGUUCCCUUCGGGGACAAGGUGACAGGUGGUGCAUGGUUGUCGUCAGCUCGUGUCGUGAGAUGUUGGGUUAAGUCCCGCAACGAGCGCAACCCUUAUUACUAGUUGCCAGCAUUCAGUUGGGCACUCUAGUGAGACUGCCGGUGACAAACCGGAGGAAGGUGGGGAUGACGUCAAAUCAUCAUGCCCCUUAUGACCUGGGCUACACACGUGCUACAAUGGCGUAUACAACGAGUUGCCAACCCGCGAGGGUGAGCUAAUCUCUUAAAGUACGUCUCAGUUCGGAUUGUAGGCUGCAAACUCGCCUACAUGAAAGUCGGAAUCGCUAGUAAUCGCGGAUCAGCACGCCGCGGUGAAUACGUUCCCGGGUUC
rnacentral:rRNA from 1 species